rnacentral:misc_RNA from 1 species
AACGCACGAGACCUGCGGACCUGCGGAGGGAUCAUUAAUGAGAAACUGCCCCUCGCGGGUAGAUCUCCCACCCUUUGUAAACUUACCUUUGUUGCUUUGGCAGGCCCGUCUCCGGACCGCCGGCUUCGGCUGGCCAGUGCCUGCCAGAGGAUUCUAAAACUCUGUCUGUCAGUGUUGUCUGAGUUUAUAUACAAUCGUUAAAACUUUUAGCAACGGAUCUCUAGAUCGGAAGAGCACACG